UACAGAGGCCUCGAGCGUUAGGCGGAAUCACUGGGCUUAAAGCGUGUGUAGGCGGACUUCUAAGUACCUUGUGAAAUCCCACGGCUCACCCGUCGGAACUGCUGGGUAUACUGGUCGUCUUGAGCCUUCUAGGGGCUACCGGAACAAAUGGUGGAGCGGUGAAAUGCGUAGAUAUCAUUUGGAACGCCAAUGGUGAAAAACAGGUAGCUGGGGAAGUGCUGACGCUGAGACACGAAAGCCAGGGGAGCGAACGGG
rnacentral:rRNA from 1 species